ACGCUCGACACCUACUGGAGGCAGCAGUGAGGAAUAUUGGUCAAUGGACGCAAGUCUGAACCAGCCAUGCCGCGUGCAGGAUGACGGCUCUAUGAGUUGUAAACUGCUUUUGUACGAGGGUAAACGCAGAUACGUGUAUCUGUCUGAAAGUAUCGUACGAAUAAGGAUCGGCUAACUCCGUGCCAGCACGCCGGACGGUUAAUCGUGGACGGGCCGGGUCGUGGACGAAGGC
rnacentral:rRNA from 1 species